rnacentral:rRNA from 1 species
GACGAACGCUGGCGGCGUGCUUAACACAUGCAAGUCGAACGGAAAGGCCCUGCUUUUGUGGGGUUCUCGAUUGGCGAACGGGUGAGUAACACGUGAGUAACCUGCCCUUCACUUUGGGAUAACUUCAGGAAACUGGGGCUAAUACCGGAUAGCAUCUCCUGCUGCAUGGUGGGGGUUGGAAAGUUUCGGCGGUUGGGGCUGGACUCGCGGCUUAUCGGCUUGUUGGUGGGGGAGGUGCUUACCAAGGGUUUGACGGGUAGCCGGCCUGAGAGCGUGACCGGCCACAUUGGGACUGAGGGAGGGACCAGAGGCGAACGGGGGGCAGAAGUGGGGAAUAUGGCACAGUGGGCGGAAGCGUGAGGCAGCGGCGCCGCGUGCGUGAUGACGGCUUUUGGGGUGUAAACAGCUGUCGGUUGAGACGAAGCGUGAGUGACGGUAAUGGGUAAAGAAGCACCGGCUAACUACGUG